rnacentral:rRNA from 1 species
UACGGAGGGUGCAAGCGUUAUCCGGAUUCACUGGGUUUAAAGGGUGUGUAGGCGGGUAUUUAAGUCAGUGGUGAAAUCUCUGAGCUCAACUCAGAAACUGCCAUUGAUACUAUUUAUCUUGAAUAUCGUUGAGGUUGGCGGAAUAUAUCAUGUAGCGGUGAAAUGCAUAGAUAUGAUAUAGAACACCGAUUGCGAAGGCAGCUAACUAAGCGAUGAUUGACGCUGAGGCACGAAAGCGUGGGGAUCAAAC